ACAGAGUUCGUCAAGUCCGCCUCUGUCUGGGCGUGAUUGACAGAUCGUGACCUACCUGCGUGAGCGGAUGUGUGCGGAAGAGAGGAGACGUACUCAUAGCGAUCUGAGGACUAUAAACAGAGAAGAGAAUUAGCUUGGUAAGUUCAUAGCUAAAACGUUUAGUUUAUGCACGCCAGUGGAUCAACAUAGAAGAGACUAUCCAGGGACAGUCCGGAGUGGGAAAGUCCAGGUUUUUCCUCAGUCGAUCUCGGGGUCUUGUCCAUGGAUGGAGGAAACAAGGGGGGAAAGAGGAAGAGGAGGAGGUGAUGGUAGGUGUGAGUGCAUGAAUCACUGGCAGCCUGUCACAGGAGAGGAGGAAGAGAGGGAGGGAGCAGAGAAGAACCAAAGAAAGGUAAGGAGAGAAGACUGAUGGAGUACAGAGAGGGUUAGCAGUAUUCAAAGGGGUAAGGAGAGCGCUGGUGUUUUGUGCGUGUGUGUGUGGUGAGGAACGGUAUAAACACAGGACAUUUUCAACCAUAUAGACUUAACAACAGGACAAUCGUCCAACCACAUCUUGUAAUGUUUGUUCUGUUCAGCAUAGGUCCAGAAACAUCCAAAAUAGCUAUCAGUGCUGUCUUAAUCACUCAAUGUAUGAUGAUGUAUGAUUAAACUCAAACAAUACGCUUCCUUAUCAUGAUUUACUGCUAUUACCAUGAUUUCCACCACCAACAUGAUUUCAAAAAUGGCCAAACCAAUCGUAAAAUUCAUUUAAAAAUUCUGGGAAGCCUGGCAAAGUUGAACCAGAGAUUGGGAAGAACUAGUACAUACCUUUGCUCUGAGCUCCCACACAAAGUUACCUAGCUGUGACUGAGUCUAAUUGUUUCCAGUUUUUAAUUUUUUUUCACAGAAAACCACACAUUUCUUAAAUUAAAAAGGCAGAUUUUAAACUAGCUGUUUUAAACUUAUUUUCACACAGAUCUCAUGAUUGCAUCUGUACGCAGCACGAAAAUUGUUCAAGUUCAUGUUCCAGCCAGGAUGUAUUCUUUUUUUUAUUGAUUUUUCUUCCUGCUUUCAAACAUUUAUCUUACUAAAAGUAAAAAAAAAAAAAAUAAUAAUCACCAACUCAACCUUCAUUCAUCUUGAAGUACAAAAGAGCAAUAUGAGGAUCUCCAAGUUUUAUUGUAAGUUGCUCAAUUUUCAAGAUUGCCCCUGGGAUCGCUACUCAUUAUCAGCAUCAUUUUGCACUGUUGAGUUAUUUUUUUCCUGAUGGAGAGAUCGAAAAUGUUGAACCCGAUAGCAGCACUACCUUGAAUGUCGCACACACUCUAUAUUUAAUGCCCUACCACUAAACUCUAAGUUCAAUCAGUUUAAGCUCUGACCUUGUUUGUCCGUGGCGUUCAAUGUGUUCAAUCCGCUCUAUCCUGUCCCUGAUGUACUGUACAGUACAACAUCGUGUUGCAUCAAGAGGUAGUCCAAAUCAGUGUUUUCAUUCACUGUACACAUACUCAUAUAGGUUCUUGAUAUGAAUUGACACAAUGUUGAUGUAAUUUCUUAUGAAGCUUGAAUAAAGAAGGUAUAACCUGUUUU